CUGGCGGCGUUCUAAUACAUGCAAGAAAAGCGAAUCAUCAGGAGCUUGCUCCUGGUGAUUAGCGUUUGCCGGGUGAGUAACACGUGGGCAACCUGCCUGUAAGACUGGGAUAACACCAGGAAACCGGUGCUAAUACCGGAUAAUUCUUUUCCUCUCAUGAGGAAAAGCUGAAAGUCGGUUUCGGCUGACACUUACAGAUGGGCCCGCGGCGCAUUAGCUAGUUGGUGAGGUAACGGCUCACCAAGGCGACGAUGCGUAGCCGACCUGAGAGGGUGAUCGGCCACACUGGGACUGAGACACGGCCCAGACUCCUACGGGAGGCAGCAGUGGG
rnacentral:rRNA from 1 species